rnacentral:rRNA from 1 species
GAUGAACGCUGGCGGCGUGCCUAAUACAUGCCAGUCGAGCGAACGGACGAGAAGCUUGCUUCUCUGAUGUUAGCGGCGGACGGGUGAGUAACGCGUGGAUAACCUACCUAUAAGACUGGGAUAACUUCGGGAAACCGGAGCUAAUACCGGAUGAUAUUUUGAACCGCAUGGUUCAAAAGUGAAAGACGGUCUUGCUGUCACUUAUAGAUGGAUCCGCGCUGCAUUAGCUAGUUGGUAAGGUAACGGCUUACCAAGGCAACGAUGCAUAGCCGACCUGAGAGGGUGAUCGGCCACACUGGAACUGAGACACGGUCCAGACUCCUACGGGAGGCAGCAGUAGGGAAUCUUCCGCAAUGGGCGAAAGCCUGACGGAGCAACGCCGCGUGAGUGAUGAAGGUCUUCGGAUCGUAAAACUCUGUUAUUAGGGAAGAACAUAUGUGUAAGUAACUGUGCACAUCUUGACGGUACCUAAUCAGAAAGCCACGGCUAACUACGUG